AUAAAGGCGAAGAAGGAGAAGAGUAAGCUUAAGUUAUGAUUUCAGCGAACUCGGGAUGGUGUGAGCCGAGGAUGAAUGCUAGGCUGAAAAUCCCUCUGGAGCUGCAACCUGAACCUGGCUUUUGACAGCAGUAAGGAAGACGGUUUCACCUUCCGUUAGAAGAGGUGGGAGUAUAAACCAAAUUGGCCGUACUCCAUAAAGAGCCUGAGAUAUCAGGAAUCAGGGUGGUACCGCGAGAACGGAUUUAACUCUCGUCCCUGAU
rnacentral:ncRNA from 1 species